UUCGCAAUGCCCGAAAGGGUGACGAAGCGACGCCGCGUGGGUGAGGAAGGCCUUCGGGUUGUAAAGCCCUGUCAGGAGUUAAGAAAUGUAAGUGCGCUAAUAUCGCAUUUAUUUGACAAAGGCUCCAAAGGAAGCCACGGCUAACUCUGUGCCAGCAGCCGCGGUAAUACAGAGGUGGCAAGCGUUGUUCGGAAUUAUUGGGCGUAAAGAGCACGUAGGUGGAUUUGUAAGUCAGAUGUGAAAGCCUUCUGUUCAACGGAAGAAUUGCAUCUGAAACUGCGAGUCUUGAGUGUAGGAGGGGAGAAUGGAACUUCUGGUGGAGCGGUGAAAUGCGUAGAUAUCAGAAGGAACGCCGGCGGCGAAAGCGAUUCUCUGGCCUAUUACUGACACUCAGUGUGCGAAAGCUAGGGGAGCAAACGGGAUUAGAUACCCCGGUAGUCCUAGCCGUAAACGAUGGGCACUAAGUAGAGGGGUUUU
rnacentral:rRNA from 1 species